GCGCAGGUGUCGCUCAUUAUCAUCAAACUCCACCGGCCUCGCUCCGCUCUCUGCCACUCGUCACAAAGCAUGAUUACUUAAAUCAAUUAUGGUUUUCUUGACUCCCAUGGCAAAAGCUGUUGGAGACACCCAGCAUAGAAAUAUUCCUAAUUCUGCUUUGCUGAGUAUGGUAGUCCACACGCACAAAGAUACAGCAAAAGAGCUACCAGACAUCAACAAAUCUCAUUUCAGGGGAAAUUAUAGAAUGGAAACCAGAGAGGUUCUCUCAACUGACAAAGCUACAGUUGUCAUCCAAAUAAAUCCACAGGCAAAUGACAGUGUUAUUUAUGUUGAUGGACAGGAGACAAUAAAACACAAUGCGGUUCUUAAAGAAUUUUUCAAAGCACAACCAAAGGCUCUGGGGGUAAUGCGU
rnacentral:lncRNA from 1 species